AACUUUUAAUAACAGAUCUCUUAAUUUUAGUAUCGAUAAAGAAUGUAACGAAAUACAAUAAGUAAUAUAAAUUGUAGAAUUUAGUAAAUUAUCGAAUCUUUAAAUAUAUAUUACGCUUGCUAAUAUUCUAAUAAAUAUAUUUAUUUAAGUAUUA
rnacentral:rRNA from 2 species